CCCUGCCUCUGUAUUCCCAUAGCCUGCUACAGACCUCCACGACAUCACAUGAAAGGUACCAGCUAAACAGAUGUGGGGUGAUUAACCAUCCACUCCAGGGAACACUUGUGGGAAGGUAUCCGUCAGUGGAGCAGGUUUGCAAAUACACGACACACGAGACUCGCCACUGGCCUUAAUGAAGCCUGCAUCAUUCAGUGCUGAAAGCAAACGAUGACGAGCUCCAUGAGGGCCAAGGCUGUCCAUUCCUGUUUACCACUGCACACUCAGGAGCUCAUGGCAUGCUGGCUGUGCUAGUUCUAUCCUCAACAGAAUAAUUGCUGACAAACUCUCUUGCCCAGAAAAUGUCUACUGGAAUUAUGGAGUACAAAAAAACUACAAAAGCAAUGAAAAAAAGAAGGAUGUUUUAUUUACAUCCUAUUUCAAAACCAUUGCUUUCUUGCUAUUGUAUGUCUCUGCAGGCCCAAUAUCGCGCAUCUUCAUAAGAAGUUUAGAAUUGUUCCUUAUGUUUCCUUCUAACAAACACUGGUGUUAAGUUUCAAGAAGUUGGUGAAAUGGAGACAGCCAAUCCAACCCAGGAGACAGUGUUUGAAAACAGGG
rnacentral:antisense_RNA from 1 species